ACUGCUCAGUAACACGUGGACAACCUACCCUGAAGAGGGGGAUAACCCCGGGAAACUGGGGAUAAUACCCCAUAGGCUAUGGAUGCUGGAAUGCUCUGUAGUUGAAAGGUCCGCCGCUUCAGGAUGGGUCUGCGGCCGAUUAGGUUGUUGUUGGGGUAACGGCCCAACAAGCCUGUAAUCGGUACGGGUUGUGGGAGCAAGAGCCCGGAGAUGGAUUCUGAGACACGAAUCCAGGCCCUACGGGGCGCAGCAGGCGCGAAAACUUUGCAAUGCGAGCAAUCGUGACAAGGGAACUCCGAGUGCCUGUAAAAUCAGGCUGUCCGCCAGUGUAAAUAACUGGCGAAGAAAGGGCCGGGCAAGACCGGUGCCAGCCGCCGCGGUAAUACCGGCGGCUCGAGUGGUGGCCACUAUUACUGGGCUUAAAGCGUUCGUAGCUGGCUUGUUAAGUCUCUGGGGAAAUCUUCCGGCUUAACCGGAAGGCGUCUCAGGGAUACUGGCAGGCUAGGGACCGGAAGAGGUGAGAGGUACUCCAGGGGUAGGAGUGAAAUCCUGUAAUCCUUGGGGGACCACCUGUGGCGAAGGCGUCUCACCAGAACGGCUCCGACAGUGAGGAACGAAAGCUGGGGAAGCAAACCGGAUUAGAUACCCGGGUAGUCCCAGCUGUAAACGAUGCGCGUUAGGUGUAUCGGUGACCACGAGUCACCGAGGUGCCGAAGAGAAAUCGUGAAACGUGCCGCCUGGGAAGUACGGUCGCAAGGCUGAAACUUAAAGGAAUUGGCGGGGAGCCAC
rnacentral:rRNA from 1 species